GGAAGGUAAGGUUUUUUUCUUUACUCUUUUCCCCAGUGCCUGGUAGGUAGUGGCUUCUCAACAAAUGGAUGCAUUCUUGAAUUAAUUUCUAUUUCAUGGCAAUUUGAAUGUUAUUGUUGACUUGCUCAAAUAAAUGUUAUCUUCGUGAAAUGCAAAGUGGAUGUCCCUCCCUUGCUGCACACUCUGCGGCUGAGUCUUUCUUUCAAUAAAAUGUAAGCUGCCUGGAAAGGCUUGGCAUGAUCCUCACUGCCUAAUUCCUGCCGCUUGUUCCAUCCCAAGGUGCAUGUGGUAGCUUUGCUGUGAGUCUGGAUUAGUCUGUCUCCUCCCUCCUCCGAAACUUCACCUUCUGCAGGUGUCACCUGGCUUCAGGGACCCAGGGGCAGGACCGACUGCCUCACACUGGAACAGUCUCUGUAAAAUCCAAAGGUGGCUACGCUGCUCUCCUGUCCACAACCCUCCACCACCUGCCUCAUCACAGAGCAUCCUGGAAGCUCACUCCUGAGCACACGCUCACGCCUUCAGUCACUCCCUGUGCUGCGCCCCAUUCCUCCAGGAAAGUCCACAAUUGUGCGCAUGCACGUCUCCAGAGGGGUCCGGACUCUGUCCUGACCCCCUCCCGGCCCUGUCCCCACCAUCACCUGCUUACUGCUCCUCACUGCUGAGCACCUGCUCUGACCACAUGGCCUCCUCUGACUUGUUACAUCACAGUGCAGUCCAACCGACACAAAGCUGGACAGUGAAACGCACAAGAACAAGGAUAAAGUACUUUGUGAUGCCCCAGAAACAAACACAGAUGCCUUCUCUACUCGAGGCUCCCAACUAUCUGAGCAAACAAACGGUGACACAUCUUCAGAGCCUCUAGGUGGCUGGGCCCACAGUGGCUCCCCCAGAGCAGGGCCCCGGGCACAUGUGGGACUCUCCUGAGCAGCCUCCCUGACUGGGAUAAGCAGAGCCGUCUCUAACACCGCCAGGAUCAACUCUGGCUGCAAAGCUCUGAUGUAGGGGUACCCAGAGCACCUUGCGAGAAAACACCACCAGGUCGUCUGAGUAAAGCAGCUGUGAUGACUCAAGCGAAAAAGGCUAUCCGGGCAUGGCACGAUGUACUCAUUCCAUGGAUUUGCUGAGCCGGUGUGCGAGCCAGGGCUCUCCUAGGGAUGUGUGAUAGAUUGGCUGAUAGGACCAAAAUGACAAGAGAAGUUAGGAUCCCAAGUCUGAAGACACAUGGCGCCAAGCCUGGACUGGUCACGUGUCCCACCAGCCCAGCUCAUCACUGGCUGCUUCCACUGGAGACAGAGCUGUAAUGAUGCCACUGCAGAUCCUCAGGCGACACCAGCCAGCCCAGGCCCUGCUGGCUGGCUUUGCGAGACAGGAGAGCUUGGGUGACCUUCCUCAGCAAGGACAGGAGAAAAACAGAACACUGUCUGAAGGGAAGCGCUGAGGGUGACAGGGGCUUCCUGAGCUGCAGCGUCAUCCAGAAAUGAGGAGGAACAGCUAAGGCUGUGGUACUCAUUUAACAUCAACAGAAGGAAGAGUGUUGAUGGCAGAUGUCACCCUUCUCAUGGCUGGAGUCAGGAAACUGAUGUUAGACACUUG